rnacentral:rRNA from 1 species
CAGGGGAUAACAUUUGGAAACAAGUGCUAAUACCGUAUAACACUAACAACCGCAUGGUUGUUAGUUCAAAGAUGGUUCUGCUAUCACUAAGAGAUGGACCCGCGGUGCAUUAGCUAGUUGGUAAGGUAAUGGCUUACCAAGGCGAUGAUGCGUAGCCGAGUUGAGAGACUGAUCGGCCACAAUGGGACUGAGACACGGCCCAUACUCCUACGGGAGGCAGCAGUAGGGAAUCUUCCACAAUGGGCGCAAGCCUGAUGGAGCAACGCCGCGUGUGUGAUGAAGGGUUUCGGCUCGCAAAACACUGUUAUAAGAGAAGAACGACAUUGAGAGUAACUGUUCAGUGUGUGACGGUAUCUUAUCAGAAAGGAACGGCUAAAUACGUGCCAGCAGCCGCGGUAAUACGUAUGUUCCAAGCGUUAUCCGGAUUUAUUGGGCGUAAAGCGAGCGCAGACGGUUAUUUAAGUCUGAAGUGAAAGCCCUCAGCUCAACUGAGGAAGGGCUUUGGAAACUGGAUAACUUGAGUGCAGUAGAGGAAAGUGGAACUCCAUGUGUAGCGGUGAAAUGCGUAGAUAUAUGGAAGAACACCGGUGGCGAAAGCGGCUUUCUGGACUGUAACUGACG